GAUUUAUAACUUAGCGAACCAACUCUUUAGAAGUUGGUAUUUAGUUUAGGAUUUAUAAGGUAAAACAAUUAAGAUUAAUAUAUUAUU